rnacentral:rRNA from 1 species
GACGAACGCUGGCGGCAUGCCUAAUACAUGCAAGUCGAACGCUGAAGCACCCUGCUUGCAGAGUGCGGAUGAGUGGCGAACGGGUGAGUAACACGUGGGGAAUCUGCCUAUAAGUGGGGGAUAACAUUCGGAAACGGAUGCUAAUACCGCAUAUAUUCUUGGACCGCCUGGUCCUUGAAAGAAAGACGGCUUUGCUGUCGCUUAUAGAUGAUCCCGCGGCGUAUUAGUUAGUUGGUGGGGUAAAGGCCUACCAAGACAAUGAUACGUAGCCGACCUGAGAGGGGGAUCGGCCACACUGGGACUGAGACACGGCCCAGACUCCUACGGGAGGCAGCAGUAGGGAAUCUUCCACAAUGGGCGAAAGCCUGAUGGAGCAAUGCCGCGUGAAUGAAGAAGGUCUUCGGAUCGUAAAGUUCUGUUAUUAGAGAAGAACAAGUCAAGGAAUAACUGUCGUGACUUUGACGGUACCUAACCAGAAAGUCACGGCUAACUACGUG